rnacentral:rRNA from 1 species
CCCUUAGAUGUCCUGGGCAGCACGCGUGCUACAAUGAUGCAUUCAACGAGUCUUGCCUUAACCGAAAGGUUCGGGUAAACUUUUGAAAUUGCAUCUUGUCGGGGCUUGAUCAUUGUAAUUUUUGAUCACAAACAAGGAAUUCCUUGUAAAUGUGAGUCAUCAACUUGCAUUGAAUACGUCCCUGCCCUUUGUACACACCGCCCGUCGCUCCUACCGAUUUUGAGUGGUCCGGUGAACCUUCUGGAUUGUGCGGCUUGCCGCGCGAGAAGUUAUGUAAACCUUAUCACUUAGAGGAAGGAGAAGUCGUAACA